rnacentral:ncRNA from 1 species
GGUGUCAACUCUUUUUUGACCUAACAGGGAAUCCGGUCAGAAUCCGGAGCGGUCCCGCCGCUGUAUGGGGAGCAAUCAUCAAAAUGUCACUGAAGCGCGAGCUUUGGGAAGGCGAUGAAAUGCGACGAACCUAAGCCAGAAGACCUGCCUGUCC